UUUACUUCUACCUACUGGACAACCUACCCAACCAUGUCAGCAUUGUGGUCGCUCACAUGGUGAUCUAUCCUGUCAGCAUAUUAAUCAUGCCUUCUAUUGGUGCGGAAGCACCCAACACCUUAUAAAGGACUACCCUCAGUGGCCGAAGAACGUGGCCAGACUUGUAGCCCAGGGUCGUGUGUAUCACCUUAAUGAACUCAGUGCCCUCCCUACUUCUGUCU
rnacentral:lncRNA from 1 species